GCUUAUGCAAAGAGGAAUCUACAAAGGUAUAAUUUCUCAACUAACAAAUGUUGUUUUAAGUUAAGUCAAGGUUCACCAAUCUACUAGGCUUUGAAUUUCAUGGUUAAUGUUUUGUUUUUAAGUGCAUACAAGCAUGAUUUCGCCUUUUAAUUGUUAAUUGCAUGCUUUAGAUGUUGCUUAAAUGAACAUGUUUUUCACAAAAUUUCCUUCAGGAGGGUGUCAAUCUUAGGGUGUUGGGGACUCAUUUCCAUGCAAUUGAUGUUAAGAGUGGGUUUUUUGCUGGGUGCUGAUCCCCCGUCGGUGGUGUGCUUAUAGGAUUUGUCCCUGUCUUUUGGUUCAGCCGAAUCUUCCUUUCUUGCCUUGCAUUUGACAAAAUUCCUAACAAUGCCUCUGAUCCAGCAAUUCUUCAAUUAAUCUCUUUGUUUGGCAACUCCUGGUAGAGUGGCUGGUACUUUUAUAGAAAGAGCAAUACUCUUUCAAAUUUUUCUUUGCUAGAUACUUAUGGAGUGGCUUUGGACAUCAGAGGCAUGGUUUCUCUUUUAUGCAGUUGAGGAUGUUGUUGAUGGUGGUGUUUAAAACAUGUAUUGCUUUGGCUUAAGAUGAGUUUUACUAUCUUGGCAGCCACUUUUAUUUGCUAGACGUGGAGAAGAGGGAUGACUGUCUCGGUCGUUCCUCAUUUGAUUAGUCUUUUUAGUGUAGUCCGGAUCGGUAGUUGUCUUUCGAGUCUUGUCAUUCUAGUCGGUGAGGCCAUUUGUUACAUCAAAGCACAUCGCUAGGAUAACGUAGUCAUACUUUCUUUUGUUCAAUUUGUCACAUUUCGACUCCGCCGUAGCACGAUAUUAUCCGCUUUGGGUCAUGUCCUCAUAGAUUUGUUCCUGGGCAAGAGAACCACUACCCAAAACGCGUCAUGCUAGGAAGAAAGGAGCCAAGGACCAACCUUCACCCCGCCGAUGUGGGAUACUAUAAUCCACCCCCUUAGGGAGACCGACGUCCUCGUUGGCACAUCCGAAUGGACGGUGAGUCUGGCUCUGAUACCAAAUUGUUGCAUUCUGACUCUGCUGUAGCACGAUAUUGUCCGCUUUGGGCCACACCCUCACGGAUUUGUUCCUGGGCAAGAGAACCUUACUACCCAAAAUGUGCUAUGCUAGGAAGAGAAGGGCAUGUACAUAUAAGGCCAGGGACUAACCUUUACCCCGCCGAUGUGGGAUACUAUACAAUUUCUAGGAAAAAGGUGAGUGAACCUGGAGACCUUGCUUGGAUACUAAUUUUAUCUGACAGUGCAUAAUUUGGUAAUCUAGAUCAGAGUCUCCUUGGAACGAUUUAAAUCAAGGUUGUGGGAACUUCUCUAAUAGGAUUAUGGACUCAAUUGUCAGGUAAAUGUAGCUCCUGACCCUGACUGUUGGCUUAAGGGUAUACGAGGGUGAUCAUCUUUGGUUACGCCUCUUGGUUUUCUGUAUUCAAGGGAUGUCGUUGUUCUUGUUCUUAAGAAGAUUUGGGUUCAUCCAACCUCAAACGGUGGGGUUCCACCUUGGUGCUCUAUAAUGUUCAUUGGAAGAGAGUUUUGCGAGAUUCGAAGCUUGCUUCCAAAGGCGAUUGAUAGGAGCAUAUUUAUGCGACUUAGUUAGCUUGUCCUUGUGCAUUUAUGUUGUUAUUUCUUAGUCAAUUAUGUAUUUUAAUCUAUUUUCGUGUGUGUAGGUUCAAAUAACAAAGUUAGCAACAAAGUGCUAUUUGGAGCAUUUUGGAGCAUUUUUGGGCCAAGAUUGGAUAGUGCAAGCAUGGAGACAUGAGGAUGGACGUUUUUGAAGAUUUGAAGGCUAGAAAUCAGCAUGUGUGUGUGCAAGUGUGUUGACCUACAACUCCAAACAUCCACCCACUACACCCAUUACAUCCACUCAUUACCAAACACUCAUCCACUACACCCAUUACAUCCACUCAUUACCAAACAUCCAUCCACUAUACCCAUUACAUCCACUCAUUACCAAACACUCACCCACUACACCCAUUACAUCCACUCAUUACCACAACAUACACCACUACCACUAUAAUUAGAUGGUGGUCCUCUCCCUAGCCUAUAAAUACAUCCACCCUUCACCAUAACAAGGGAGGAGAAAAGAUCCAUCCAAAGACGGCAACUGCACCUAUCAAAGCGGCUAAAAGAAUUAUUGUGAAACGAAUUCAAAUGGAAGAAAAAAAUCUGUUGAUAAAUGAAUUCCAAUUUGUUAAAGACACUACUUUCACAUCUCACAACUCCAUACACUUACACUUUCAUUCCUUGGGUGAGAACACAAUCCACCCGUCCACCCUUCACCAUAACUCACCUAUAUCCAUCCACCACCAUAAUUUACCACCCAUCCAUCAAACCACACCUUGUGCCGCAACAAAGAGAAGAAGGAGGACCCUUGGACGUGCUUGCCAUUCAAGUUGGAUUGUUGGAGCAUUUUUAGGUGUUUUCAUUCUUUUGUUUUUAAUGUCUAAAUUUGUUUAUCUUUUCUUUGUGAGUAUGAGGAACUAAACCCCCCUUAGCUAGGGGGGAAUUUGAAACCAUGUUCAUGCUUGCAAUAUGAUUUGAUUACCUUCAGUUGUGAUUUCAUAAGCUGUGAAUUCAAUUUGUUUAAUUGCUUGAUUGAUAACUUAUUCAUGUAUAUAUUAAGAGUGCACACUUAGUUUGCAUGCAUGAAUAUGAUGCUAGAGUAUAAGGGAGUUUCACCUAAUAGUUACAAACUUAUAUUCACAAGUAGUGGAGGUCGCUUAUAAACGAUCGCGUUAAAUAAAUUCUUGGCAAGAGUUUCAUGCUCAUCAUAGUAAUGAAUGCCUCGUCAAUACUUAUAGUUUUCAUAAUGCUUAAUGAUAUUUGAUUGUAUCUUUAUUAUGCUGUUCACGUGAAGAACUUUUGAAGAAUGCUUGAAUUGUUGCAUGCGAUUUCCCAUCCAAUUCAAUAACUUAAGGAGAACUUGAAGAUUAAUUUAAGCGGACUUAAUUAACCUGGGGUGUUGAGUUUCAUGAUUGAUCGAAAGAACAACUGAAAAUUG
rnacentral:lncRNA from 1 species